UACGUAGGGGGCAAGCGUUGUCCGGAAUCAUUGGGCGUAAAGAGCGUGUAGGCGGCCCGAUAAGUCCGCUGUGAAAGUCCAGGGCUCAACCCUGGGAUGCCGGUGGAUACUGUCGGGCUCGAGUACGGAAGAGGCGAGUGGAAUUCCUGGUGUAGCGGUGAAAUGCGCAGAUAUCAGGAGGAACACCUAUUGCGAAGGCAGCUCGCUGGGACGUAACUGACGCUGAGACGCGAAAGCGUGGGGAGCAAACAGG
rnacentral:rRNA from 1 species